rnacentral:rRNA from 1 species
AUGAUGGCCGACGACAAGCUCCUUUGUGAGUGUUGGAGGGACAUCGGGCAAGACCCCAAGACUGGCGGCGAACAAAAGGCAUCAACAUUUUGGACUCGUGUCCAUCGCGAGUUCCAUGAACGCAAGAAGUCUCCAUCGUAGCAAAUCCAAGCACGCACGGGGUGGGUGUCCAUUUUGAAGCGAUGGAAGGUGAUCCAACAAGAGUGCAACAAGUUUUGUGCCACUCUUGAGAGCAUCAAGUCACGCCAAGACAUGCAAGACAUGGUAUGCAUGCAUGUGCCCCUCUUUUUGUCAUUCCGUUUAUGCUUGCAUGUCCAUUUCCAUAUUCAUUUUCCAAAUAUGCGUGCAUGCAAUUCAUUUAUAGGCAUUCCAAGCUUCGGAGGCAUUCAAGGUCCAACACGAAGGCAAGCCCUUCAACCUCUCCCAUUGUUGGAGGGUCAUCAAAGACGAGGAGAAGUUCAAGGCGCAAUAUGCCGCCUUCAUGGCGUGUGGUGA